rnacentral:rRNA from 1 species
AGCCGCGGUAAUACAGAGGGUGCGAGCGUUAAUCGGAUUUACUGGGCGUAAAGCGUGCGUAGGCGGCUUUUUAAGUCGGAUGUGAAAUCCCUGAGCUUAACUUAGGAAUUGCAUUCGAUACUGGGAAGCUAGAGUAUGGGAGAGGAUGGUAGAAUUCCAGGUGUAGCGGUGAAAUGCGUAGAGAUCUGGAGGAAUACCGAUGGCGAAGGCAGCCAUCUGGCCUAAUACUGACGCUGAGGUACGAAAGCAUGGGGAGCAAACAGGAUUAGAUACCCUGGUAGUCCAUGCCGUAAACGAUGUCUACUAGCCGUUGGGGCCUUUGAGGCUUUAGUGGCGCAGCUAACGCGAUAAGUAGACCGCCUGGGGAGUACGGUCGCAAGACUAAAACUCAAAUGAAUUGACGGGGGCCCGCACAAGCGGUGGAGCAUGUGGUUUAAUUCGAUGCAACGCGAAGAACCUUACCUGGUCUCGACAUAGUAAGAACUUUCCAGAGAUGGAUUGGUGCCUUCGGGAACUUACAUACAGGUGCUGCAUGGCUGUCGUCAGCUCGUGUCGUGAGAUGUUGGGUUAAGUCCCGCAACGAGCGCAACCCUUUUCCUUAUUUGCCAGCGGGUUAAGCCGGGAACUUUAAGGAUACUGCCAGUGACAAACUGGAGGAAGGCGGGGACGACGUCAAGUCAUCAUGGCCCUUACGACCAGGGCUACAC